CCAUGUCCAAAUUCGUUGAUCCCGCGAGAGAAAAAGAAUAGGAAAAUUGCUCUGGAAGAGAAGCUCCGCUCGAGACGCUUGUGUAUUCUUCCCCCGCCACCGUUGGACGUCGCCUUCCUCCUUUGGCCGUCGGACGGUGCUCGCCUCCUCCGGCCAUCGUCGAUCAUCAGUCUCAGGCAGACACUGAUGGGAGAGGGAACCAUUUUUUAGGCACGCAGGCACACCUGAGAGAAAACACACGGGCUAGGACGAUCGAGAAAAAGGAAAAGCUCGCACUCCCUCUGCACGUCUUUGGACUUUCUUUUUCUUCGGUCAUCCUCAUCCACCGGUAAUCGCCAUCGGUUUACCAUCACCGGGCAUCAACUAACGUGCGUACUAAAAGAGGACUUGAACUGGCGAGGUUUUUGGGCGUCCAGAAGUCACUCUCGACGUUUUCCAAAUCCUCCUGGUGCGAACUCGACCAGUAAUCGCGACCAAGAACUCCUUAUCGGCAAGGUAAUCUCUCUUCCCUACCAUACUCUGUUUUUUUUUAUGAAUAAAAGUAACCAAAAUGGCAUGUCCUAAAUUAGGAUAGAAUCGGCUCAAAUUCGUAUUCAUAUUGACGAUUGCGUACUUGGACUGAUUUCGUUUGAACCUGAUCUCUAACCCGAUAAACUGAUUUUGUCUGAAUCUGAUCUCUAACCUGAAGUCAUCGUGCUUGCUUUCACUUCUCCACCAAAUGCACAUAACGUGUUUGAUAAAAUGACUCCGAAGUGUACCAGUGAGUUUCUGCUAAAUCUGAAGAUAUACUAGUUUAGUUUGCACACUAAUGAUUGAUUCGUUGGUCAUUGAGCAUGAUUUUGUAGAAUUUUACACAUUGACCGAGACUGACGCCUAUUCUUGUUCUAUUCCCAUGUAUGUUUGUCUCUGAGGUGAUGGGUGGUGGUCGAUGGCCAGAGCGUCGAUCCAUUGAAGCAUUCGUGUCGGUUUGUUUCUCCAAUCUUAUGUUCUGUCCAUUUCCUCUACCGUUGCGAUUGUGGAGGAUUGAGUUGAUGGUGACGGAGGAUGGCCGUAGUCACUGAAUUGUACUGAUUUAGGUGAAUAUCUGUUGAUAAUUUUACUGUUUCAGCUCUUGAACUUCGACGAGAAAUGGAUCUGGGAAUGGUGGACUCGGCGUCAAGGAUGAACAACGAUCAUAAAAAGAGAGGAGAAUAACAAAAAAAAGAAAGUAGGCCCUUUUCAAUGGAAAAUAAGUUUAAUGUGGACUUGGUGUGUAUUUGUCAUGGGGAUGGGUUUAGUGUAGUAAUGUUCAGGAAUGGGUUUAAGAUGCGAUUGGGCUGAAUCUGGUUCUAGCAAAUUUGUAUUGAGUAAAAUGUAUUGAAAA